rnacentral:tRNA from 1 species
GUUAAAAACCCAAUGAAAGGAUUGUGUUUUGAAAGCAUAAUAAAGAGGUUAAAAUCCUCUAUUUAACU